rnacentral:rRNA from 1 species
GAUAAACGCUGGCGGCGUGCCUAAUACAUGCAAGUCGAGCGAACGGACGAGAAGCUUGCUUCUCUGAUGUUAGCGGCGGACGGGUGAGUAACACGUGGAUAACCUACCUAUAAGACUGGGAUAACUUCGGGAAACCGUAGCUAAUACCGGAUAAUAUUUUGAACCGCAUGGUUCAAAAGUGAAAGACGGUCUUGCUGUCACUUAUAGAUGGAUCCGCGCUGCAUUAGCUAGUUGGUAAGGUAACGGCUUACCAAGGCAACGAUGCAUAGCCGACCUGAGAGGGUGAUCGGCCACACUGGAACUGAGACACGGUCCAGACUCCUACGGGAGGCAGCAGUAGGGAAUCUUCCGCAAUGGGCGAAAGCCUGACGGAGCAACGCCGCGUGAGUGAUGAAGGUCUUCGGAUCGUAAAACUCUGUUAUUAGGGAAGAACAUAUGUGUAAGUAACUGUGCACAUCUUGACGGUACCUAAUCAGAAAGCCACGGCUAACUACGU